CUUCCUCAGUCUGUUUCCCUUCUAUAGAUGCCGACACUUGAUGGCUUAUUUAUGUAGCUUUUUAUUUUUAUUUUAGACCUCUUAUAAUUUUAAUUUAAUAUAAUAAAUGAUAAAAUUUAUUUAUAGAUUUAUUGUGUGAAUUUUUUAUUUUUAAUUUAUAAAAAAUAUUAUAAAUAUAAAUUAAAUAUAUAUAUUCAUAAAUUAUUUUUAAAAAAUAAGUGUAAAUUAUUAGUGAUGAAAUUAUUUUUGAUAAAAUAUUGAUCACCAAAAAACAUAUUAGCGAUG
rnacentral:lncRNA from 1 species